rnacentral:rRNA from 1 species
AUUGAACGCUGGCGGCAUGCCUUACACAUGCAAGUCGAGCGGCAGCGCGGGGGCAACCCUGGCGGCGAGCGGCGAACGGGUGAGUAAUGCAUCGGAACGUGUCCUCUUGUGGGGGAUAACCAGUCGAAAGACUGGCUAAUACCGCAUGAGCUCGAGAGAGGAAAGCAGGGGACCGCAAGGCCUUGCGCGAGAGGAGCGGCCGAUGCCGGAUUAGCUAGUUGGUGGGGUAAAGGCCUACCAAGGCGACGAUCCGUAGCUGGUCUGAGAGGACGACCAGCCACACUGGGACUGAGACACGGUCCAGACUCCUACGGGAGGCAGCAGUGGGGAAUUUUGGACAAUGGGGGCAACCCUGAUCCAGCCAUGCCGCGUGUGUGAAGAAGGCCUCGGGUUGUAAAGCACUUUCGGCCGGAACGAAAUCGCGCGAUCUAAUAAGUCGCGUGGAUGACGGUACCGGAAGAAGAAGCACCGGCUAACUACGUGCCAGCAGCCGCGGUAAUACGUAGGGUGCAAGCGUUAACCGGAAUUACUGGGCGUAAAGUGUGCGCAGGUGGCCGCGCAAGUCGAGUGUGAAAGCCCCGGGCUUAACUUGGGAAUUGCGCUCGAAACUACGUGGCUCGAGUGUGGCAGAGGAAGGUGGAAUUCCACGUGUAGCGGUGAAAAUGCGUAGAGUGUGGAGGAACACCGAUGGCGAAGGCAGCCUUCUGGGCCAACACUGACGCUCAUGCACGAAAGCGUGGGGGAGCAAAACAGGAUUAGAUACCCUGGU